AGCUUUGCGCAGUGGCAGUAUCAUAGCCAAUGAGGUUUAUCCAAGGCGCAAUUAUUGCUAAUUGAAAAUCACUCAUGUUUGAUGGCAGUUAGGCAACAUGCUGAUCUAGGUUUGAGGCUAGGACUAGU
ensembl:snRNA U4 U4 spliceosomal RNA